AUUGAACGCUGGCGGCAGGCCUAACACAUGCAAGUCGAGCGGAUGAAGGGAGCUUGCUCCUGGAUUCAGCGGCGGACGGGUGAGUAAUGCCUAGGAAUCUGCCUGGUAGUGGGGGAUAACGUCCGGAAACGGGCGCUAAUACCGCAUACGUCCUGAGGGAGAAAGUGGGGGAUCUUCGGACCUCACGCUAUCAGAUGAGCCUAGGUCGGAUUAGCUAGUUGGUGGGGUAAAGGCCUACCAAGGCGACGAUCCGUAACUGGCCUGAGAGGAUGAUCAGUCACACUGGAACUGAGACACGGUCCAGACUCCUACGGGAGGCAGCAGUAGGGAAUAUUGGACAAUGGGCGAAAGCCUGAUCCAGCCAUGCCGCGUGUGUGAAGAAGGUCUUCGGAUUGUAAAGCACUUUUAGUUGGGAAGAAGAGCAGUAAGUUAAUACCUUGCUGUUUUGACGGUACCAACAGAAUAAGCACCGGCUAACUUCGUG
rnacentral:rRNA from 1 species